CCUUUACCUUCUCCUCACCAUCGACGACCUCCUCCCCUCCCCCUCGCCCCAAAUCGAGCAGCAGGCCUGGAUCCAACGCAGGCUCAGAUCCGGCCCCUGCCCCUCAGUCCUCACCACGCCUCUCUCGCCUUCUUCCCUCUUGGCUCGUCGUUCCGGUGGUGGCGGCUCGUUGAUGAGCACGGCGGCGAGGUGGAGGAAAACGAGUAGCGGCAUGGAUCUGGUCACGGUGGAGUCGGAGCACAAAACCCGACGGCCCGCUCUCAACUGCGACUUUACAUGGUUCCUAGCCGCCGUCUCCUGGAGCUGCUCCGCACAUCUCUGCCCGCCCAACAGCCCCUCCAUGCCGGCUGUCCGGAGCUGCACCGCACACUGCAGCAAGAAAUUGAAGGACAUGGGUGGCAUGUGCUCCAUUAAGCAGAGCACUUUUAAGUUACUUUCUACAGGAUGAUCAUUCCCAAUAUUUAGUCUUCGCUGCUCUGUUCCAAUGAAGAACGAAUCGGUUUGCUUGGCAUCAGUGAAAAAAAAUCAUUGCUUAGCUCAAGUUUAAAUAUGUUCCUUAAUAGCUGGAGUGCCCUUCGUCAGCGAGGAGGCCCAGGGUGACACCGCUGCCGGCGCCGGUGCUCCCCAAUGUAGCCACUCCGAUGACAGCCAGGUGAUCCAUUCCCCUGCCCAGAGGUGUUCUCUUUUGUGCUAGGUUUUCGUUUUCCCAUUGAUUUUCAUUCCAAUUUUAUCGCAGGAUUGUUGCUGUGUGUCUCCAGUUCCUUGAAGUCAUGUACAUGCACAUGCCCGCGUCUGAUUUGUUCUCGUGGUCGCGUUCCUGCCGUAGCUACGUCCACGACUGUGCAGGUUUAGCCGUCCUUUCUUUAAUCCCCUUUUUUGUUUACCCUCAUUUCUCUUGUAUUGUUCCUGAGAGAGCCUAGGCCUGAUGUCCUCUUUCCAGGUGAGGCGUUUGUUGCCUUGCUUAAUUUUGUUUAUUAGAUAUUACCUGCCUAUGCUUCAUCCUAUUUUUGCAAUGAGAUCUAUUGUUUACAUAUGUGCUAAUUUCUGUGACUAAGGAGACUGUCAGUUCUGCCAAUGACGCUAAAUACUUACAGUUAGGAAAUAACAGUCCCCGUAUCGGAAGGCAUGUUUAUUUUGUCUUGAAUUGAAAGAAUUACUAAAUAAGAAGGCUAGCUUAGGUUCUAAUAAUUGUUCAAACAUACUAUAUACUCCUAACAGAAAUGUAAAACAAAGACAUGGACAAAUUAUUUCUGCUAUGUGAUGAGAAGAACUAUUUUAAUAGAUAUGGAAAUGCUUUUUUAAAUUAUAUGUCUACUCUGCCAUGCUUGCCAAUAUCCACUUCUGCUGCAAGUGCUUCUAUAAUUGCAACUUCUGGAAGUGUGUGGUUUGAAGAUAUGAGAUGUGAUUCAGUUACAUAAAUGUUUGAACGGGAACUUAUGAAUUAGAAGGGAAUAACUGCCUUGCCUUACAAAAGUUCGUGUAAGGGAAAGGAUUGCCUCAGCUAACACUAUAUUUAUAGGAAAGAUACAUGCAAAUUCAAGAGCGUAAUAAGAUAAUUAUUUUUUCCUUCCAGAACAAAGGCCUGUUUGUGCCAGGGACUAACAUAUUUCAUAGUAGACAUGAUUUAUACCUUUUAGGACCAGUACAAUUUUCAUACAAUCAUGAAUCAUGGUUUUAUCUUUUGAAGUCGAUACAUUUUAAUUUAUUGUUUUAUUCCCCUAAAUGUUUACCUAAGCACAUAGCUGCUAUUCACUGUAUCUUUUGUCAGAUGGCUUCUAUCACCCUUGCUAAUCUAUGUUGCGGAAGACAAAAUCAAAUGCUAUGUGUCCGGGUGUCUCGGCUAAGGCAUUUUCGCAGCGAUUUAGAGAGCGGUCCUAUCAAGCUCAUACACAUGUUCAUCAUCGACGUGCAGGGUAGCUAGAGUUAUGCAGUUGUACCAACAUCAUUUGCUGGUGCUUAUCUACACAUCUUACAAGAGGGGAUUAUCUAUAAGCUUGGCUACUUGAUGGUCUUGCCACUGCUAAACAUACUGAAUCCUGCUGCAGCUCCACGUAUGAGUUUAUCUCAGAAGGAAUCAAGGAAAUGAUGGCGUUAGUCUUGAUAUGGGGAAGCGUUAAGUUCACGCAUAGGACAUAUGCCACUGAUACCAGUACAACACAGUUUUUGUGUGUUGCAAGUUGAUCAAUUCCAACAUGGUACCCCAUGCCCACGAUACACUCAUCGUCACUGCUCCGAUCCGCCCGACCCCAGUGACUCAGCUACUUCCUAUCAUCACCUGGAGCAAUUUAAGAUCGAAAAGGAUGAUGGGAGGAUGCAACUGACACAGUAGCAUGCUCCGUGUCAAAUGUGUGAAGACAGCCUGCAGCCCAAUAUCAGCUCUUGGAUUUCCAAGGGACGGCGAGCGAUGGCUGUGGUGGCGGCGGAGAAGGUGGUGAAGUGUAUCGGGCUGGGGUUCGAUAUGAUGUGUGACCUGAGGCAAGUUCUGCAAAGAUUCUGCUUCUCUUUUGGAGAUCACGUGUCUUUUGGAGCAUGUUAGGCUUUGAUUUCAAUUCAAUGAUGUGCUUUAUCAUCAACCUUGUAAGACUGUCACCUAUCUGAUAAUAUGGAGCUAACCUUGCUAUGCCUGAUGAUUGAACAUUUAUCUGGUAAGCUUGUUUAACUCAAUUUAUAUUUUAACACCCAAACUACUCUAGCACGCCUAUGCACGUUCACAACGUUACCGCCAAGGCAAGUGCGCA